rnacentral:rRNA from 1 species
UACAGAGGGUGCGAGCGUUGUCCGGAAUCCCUGGGCGUAAAGGGCGCGUAGGCGGCCUGAUAAGUAGGGGGUGAAAUCUUGCGGCUCAACCGCAAGGCUGCCUUCUAAACUGUCAGGCUGGAGCACGGUAGAGGCAGAUGGAAUUCCCGGUGUAGCGGUGGAAUGCGUAGAGAUCGGGAAGAACACCAGUGGCGAAGGCGGUCUGCUGGGCCGUUGCUGACGCUGAGGCGCGACAGCGUGGGGAGCAAACAGG